AUGUUUCGUUUGAUGAUUGGACCGGUCUCGAAAACCGGAGUAGGGGCAACUCUACCGGGGGGGCAAAUCCCCCUCUCUCCGCCA
rnacentral:tRNA from 1 species